rnacentral:rRNA from 1 species
UACGGAGGGAGCUAGCGUUGUUCGGAAUUACUGGGCGUAAAGCGCACGUAGGCGGCUUUGUAAGUUAGAGGUGAUAGCCUGGAGCUCAACUCCAGAAUUGCCUUUAAGACUGCAUCGCUUGAAUCCAGGAGAGGUGAGUGGAAUUCCGAGUGUAGAGGUGAAAUUCGUAGAUAUUCGGAAGAACACCAGUGGCGAAGGCGUCUCACUGGACUGGUAUUGACGCUGAGGUGCGAAAGCGUGGGGAGCAAACAGGAUUAAUACCCUGGUAGUC